UUUAAAGCCAGCCUCAGCAACUUAGCAAAGCCCUAAACAACUUAGCAAGACCCUGUCUCUAAAUAAAACACAAAAAAGGACUGGGGAUGUGGCUCAAUGGUUGAGUACCCCUGGGUUCAAUCUUCAGCUCCAGAGCAACUACAAUUCUUAUAUAUUUUGGGUGGGACCAACAGAAGGAAUUUAAUAGAAGAGUUACACAGUGAUGGGAAAGCCAAGAAGCCAGGACCAUCCAGUGGAAAGCACAACCACAGAAAGGCUCAUGUGAUGUGAGCUGGAGCCAUGAAGAGAACCAGCUUCUACCAAAGAUACCAUAGGAAGCCGAGAGAAAGGAAUACACUGACUUUCCCCCUCCUGCCACCUUCUAGUCUAGUCCUCUACCAGUACCUGCCCAUCCCCCACUGGUUAAACUCACCUGGAAGCCAAAAGUCAAGGAGCCUGGGGAACACAGUCCUUGAAGGGCAACACUGGAAGAUCAAGGAAUCAAACCAAAAGCAAGCAGACAACUGACCAGUACCAGCCAAGGCUCAUUGGGCCUCAGAUGGGCCAUUUGCAAGUGUCUCUUUCUAGAGAAAUACUGAAACUGGCUCCCCUGGAAGCAGCAUCCUCCUGAGUCCUCUUGGACUCACAAAGGUGGAAAUGGGUUAGCUGCCUCUGAUGGAAAAGAGGUCCUGUUAAUGAGUUCAAUCAAAAGACUGUUGUGACUGGAUGUGGUGGGGCACACCUAUAAUCCCAGCUGCUUGGGAGUCUGAGGCAGAAGGAUUGUGAGUCCAAAGCCAAACUCAGCAACUUAGCAAGGCCCUAAGCAAUUUAGUGAGACCCUGUCUCAAAAUAAAAUAUAUACAUAUAUAUGGAGAUAGGAAUGUGGGUCAGUGGUUGAGUGCCUCUGGGCUAAACCCCAGUACCAAAAUAAUAAUAUUAAAGUUAAUGUGCAUAUUUAUCACAGUAGAAUGAUACCCCUAAAGGAAACUGGGCAUUGUCUGUAAACAGGUGGUGCUUCUUUGUGCCCCAGUUAGAGACUGGGCUGGGUCAUUUCCUACCCUGGAAGAAGGCAUGCCCUGUGCCUUGAGGACAGGCCAGGAGUCUGGCUAUGGACUAAGAGGGAGGAAUUGUCCAGAGAAGACUAUGGAGCUGCCUCCCCCAUCUCUCCACCCCUCCCCAAAUUCAGACCACAUUUAAACAGCUGGUUAAACAAGUACUGUUGUUUUAGAGAAUUGUGCUAUGUUAUUUCUUUAAAAAGCUAAACUUGGUUAAUAUAAAAACAUCAAUGUAAUUGUGAUGCUAUUAAUGUGUUCAUAUCUUCCAGGUAUACAAGUCUGUAAGGUGGAAGCUUUAG
rnacentral:lncRNA from 1 species